GUAGGUGGCAAGCGUUGGUCCGGAAUUAUUGGGCGUAAAGCGCGCGCAGGCGGUUCUUUAAGUCUGAUGUGAAAGCCCACGCUCAACCGUGGAGGGUCAUUGGAAACUGGAGAACUUGAGUACAGAAGAGGAAAGCGGAAUUCCACGUGUAGCGGUGAAAUGCGUAGAGAUGUGGAGGAACACCAGUGGCGAAGGCGGCUUUCUGGUCUGUAACUGACGCUGAGGCGCGAAAGCGUGGGGGAGCAAACAGGAUUAGAUACCCUGGUAGUCCACGCCGUAAACGAUGAGUGCUAAGUGUUAGGGGGUUUCCGCCCCUUAGUGCUGCAGCUAACGCAUUAAGCACUCCGCCUGGGAGUACGGCCGCAAGGCUG
rnacentral:rRNA from 1 species